CCCGCUGAACUUAAGCAUAUCAAUAAGCGGAGGAAAAGAAACCAACAGGGAUUGCCUCAGUAACUGCGAGUGAAGCGGCAAAAGCUCAAAUUUGAAAUCUGGUACCUCUGGGUGCUCGAGUUGUAAUUUGGAGAGGCAACUUCGGAGGGGGCGCUGGGCUAAGUUCCUUGGACACAGGACGUCACAGAGGGUGAGAUAUCCCGUGCUUGGCUGGCUGUCCUCCUUCAUGUGAAGUGUCUUCUACGAGUCGAGUUGUUUGGGAAUGCAGCUCAAAAUGGGUGGUAAACUCCAUCUAAGGCUAAAUACUGGCGAGAGACCGAUAGCGCACAAGUAGAGUGAUCGAAAGAUGAAAAGCACUUUGAAAAGAGAGAUAAACAGUAUGUGAAAUUGUUGAAAGGGAAGCGCUUGAGACCAGACUCGGUGAUUGGUGAUCAGCGGUAGCUUCUGCUCCGUGCACUUGCCUUUUACUGGGCCAGCAUCAGUUGCGACGGCAGGAUAAAGGUUCAGGGAAUGUGGCUCUCUUCGGGGGGAGUGUUAUAGCCCUGGGUGUAAUGCUGCCUGCCGCGACUGAGGACCGCGCUUCGGCUAGGAUGCUGGCAUAAUGGUCUUCAGCGACCCGUCUUGAAACACGG
rnacentral:rRNA from 1 species